CAUGCAGUCGAGGCAGCACAGGGGAGCUUGCUCUUUGGGUGGCGAGUGGCGGACGCCUGAGGAAUACAUCGGAAUCUACUCUGUCGUGGGGGAUAACGUAGGAAAACUUACGCUAAUACCGCAUACGACCUACGGGUGAAAGCAGGGGAUCUUCGGACCUUGCGCGAUUGAAUGAGCCGAUGUCGGAUUAGCUAGUUGGCGGGGUAAAGGCCCACCAAGGCGACGAUCCGUAGCUGGUCUGAGAGGAUGAUCAGCCACACUGGAACUGAGACACGGUCCAGACUCCUACGGGAGGCAGCAGUGGGGAAUAUUGGACAAUGGGCGCAAGCCUGAUCCAGCCAUACCGCGUGGGUGAAGAAGGCCUUCGGGUUGUAAAGCCCUUUUGUUGGAAAAGAAAUCCAGCCGGCUAAUACCUGGUUGGGAUGACGGUACCCAAAGAAUAAGCACCGNCUAACUUCGUGCCAGCAGCCGCGGUAAUACGAAGGGUGCAAGCGUUACUCGGAAUUACUGGGGCGUAAAGCGUGCGUGGGUGGUCGUUUAAGUCCGUUGUGAAAGCCCUG
rnacentral:rRNA from 1 species